rnacentral:tRNA from 1 species
GCCCUAGUAGCUUAAUUUUUAAAGCAUUGGUCUUGUAAACCAAAGAUUGAAGACUAAGAAUCUUCUUAGAGCU